AUAAUAAGAUCGGCAGAUUGUGUGCAAUGCUGAAUUUGAUAGUAUCGGCAACUAUUACCUCCCCUUCCUGCCGCACGUUACAACAGGUACUUUCGUUUCGUUGAAAUUCGAUCAUCGCUCGGGUCUGUAAAUUUCGAGUCAGAUAGACAGGUUGCCGGAAAAACUUCAGGUCGAGGUUAUAGGCUACCCCACCAAUUGCAGAUGCCCUGGACGUGUUUCAAGCAUUGGAAUUGGCAUAGAAUUGCUUGAAGGAUCAUCCAGACGAUCUGCUUUUCCUCUAAUACGGGCUCUAAUGCUUCAAACAUGAAUUCAAGCAACAAUCCAAUCCAUGCAGUUUAAAGGCAGCUUUGGCAGAGAUGAGAUUGUAGCUAGGUUUAUUGGGUACUGAUGAGCUCGGGACAUUACUGUUUAUACAAGACAAGAAUGUGGAGUCUGUUUUACUUAUUCCU